GGGGAAUAUUGGACAAUGGGCGAAAGCCUGAUCCAGCCAUGCCGCGUGUGUGAAGAAGGUCUUCGGAUUGUAAAGCACUUUAAGUUGGGAGGAAGGGCAGUAAGUUAAUACCUUGCUGUUUUGACGUUACCAACAGAAUAAGCACCGGCUAACUUCGUG
rnacentral:rRNA from 1 species